CUUUGGAAGCUGCUGCACAGGGGUUAACAACAAGCAACAACUCAGGUCGCAUUCUUGUCAACGGAAGGGAGGGCCAGGUGGAACCGCCAAGGGGGCCAUUUCUGGCUUUGCUGGAGGCUGUCAGCUUCUGGUGGGAGCCACAGCCUGAGGGCAGCCAGGAUGGCUCUGCUGGGAGGGACACCCUGCCCAACCCUGGGAGCAGGUGACGAAGGCUCCUGGAGGCAUGGUCACAUCCCUGGGUCCCAGAGGCAGGAACAAAGCCCCCAGGGCAGUGUUCAUCAAGAAAGGGCCUCCGGGUUUGUGUUUACUGGACAUGAAUUGAGCUGCUCUCCAGAGAUAAGAAAAAAAUAUUACAGCCCUGCUAUGUGGGCACCCCACGGCAGCCCCCGGGGUUAAGGGGCAGCUUUCUUUCCAAGGAAUCCCAUUGCCAAAGAUGAACCUUCAGGUAAGGGCUCAGAGCUGCUUGCUUGGGCAGAUACUUCCAGCAGGGUUCCCAGGGAUGUGAGUCCAUCUCCCCACAGAGGAAUCUGUGCUCAGGCGCUGUGCCCAGGGAAUAUCAAGAUCUGCACCCUGGAAACCUAAGGCUGUAGCCUCAGCCCCAGUUAAGGAUCAUGCGGUCUGGUCUGUCCCUUUGUUUUACAGAUGGGGAAACUGAGGACCCAGAGGAAGCAAGAGCAGCCCCAGGCCACACAACCCUCUUUUUAUUAUUCAUUCACUGACUACACUGCAGAGGUUGGACCCAUAUCUCAUUAUUUGAAUAGUAAAUUGUUUUUUCUUCCUGACCCUUGGUCUGUUGGGUCUCUCAUUGCGCCAUGCAUCCAAGAAAGAACGUUCUGAAGCUUUCCAGUGCCACCCAAUCCCUGUAUCCUACUUUAUGCUUGAAAGUAAAGCUCACGGGUUUUUUUCUACUUCGGGUUGUUUAAAUAACCACAAUCGGUCGGGAGCGGUGGCUCACGCCUGUAAUCCCAGCACUUUGGGAGGCCGAGGCGGGUGGAUCACCUGAGGUCAGGAGUUAGAGACUAG
rnacentral:lncRNA from 1 species